CGACGACAUCUGUCCACACCUGGGGGGAUCAGGAGGACACUGUACAGUCUCAGGCAUUCUGCCCAUGUACAGAAAGUCGUGCGACAACCAUGCUUUCUGCUUUGCACGCGCCCACGUAGAGGAUGACCCCUGCCCAACUGUGUCUAAAUAUCUAGAGAUUGUCUUCAGCUGUGAACAGAAAGUUUGUCUGCACGGUUUGGGUGUUGAGAACGGGACCAUCACAGACUCCCAGCUCUCUGCUUCCUCCUCCAUCGGUUCCUUCACUCCCAA